UUAUGGCCAUGUCACGUUGAAAAACCUGUUCUCGUAUAACCACCGAAGUUAAGCAACAAUGAGUCAGGUUAGUAUCAAGAUGAGUGACUGCUUUGGAAUACCAGGUGUUGUAA